UACAGAGGUCUCAAGCGUUGUUCGGAUUCAUUGGGCGUAAAGGGUGCGUAGGCGGCGCGGUAAGUCGGGUGUGAAAUCUCGGAGCUUAACUCCGAAACUGCAUUCGAUACUGCCGUGCUUGAGGACUGGAGAGGAGACUGGAAUUUACGGUGUAGCGGUGAAAUGCGUAGAUAUCGUAAGGAAGACCAGUGCGAAGGCGGGUCUCUGGACAGUUCCUGACGCUGAGGCACGAAGGCCAGGGGAGCAAACGGGAUUAGAACCUCCUUGUCA
rnacentral:rRNA from 1 species